rnacentral:rRNA from 1 species
AGAGUUGAUCAUGGCUCGAGGACGAACGCUGGCGGCGUGCUUAACACAUGCAAGUCGAGCGAUGAAGCUUCUUCGGAAGUGGAUUAGCGGCGGACGGGUGAGUGACACGUGGGUAACCUGCCUCAUAGAGGGGAAUAGCCUUCCGAAAGGAAGAUUAAUACCGCAUAAGAUUGUAAUAUCGCAUGAUAUAGCAAUUAAAGGAGUAAUCCGCUAUGAGAUGGACCCGCGUCGCAUUAGCUAGUUGGUGAGGUAACGGCUCACCAAGGCGACGAUGCGUAGCCGACCUGAGAGGGUGAUCGGCCACAUUGGGACUGAGACACGGCCCAGACUCCUACGGGAGGCAGCAGUGGGGAAUAUUGCACAAUGGGGGAAACCCUGAUGCAGCCAACGCCGCGUGAGUGAUGACGGUCUUCGGAUUGUAAAGCUCUGUCUUCAGGGACGAUAAUGACGGUACCUGAGGAGGAAGCCACGGCUAACUACGUGCCAGCCGCUGC